rnacentral:rRNA from 1 species
CGUAGGGUGCGAGCGUUAAUCGGAAUUACUGGGCGUAAAGUGUGCGCAGGUGGCCGCGCAUGUCGAGUGUGAAAUCCCCGGGCUUAACUUGGGAAUUGCGCUCGAAACUACGUGGCUAGAGUGUGGCAGAGGAAGGUGGAAUUCCACGUGUAGCGGUGAAAUGCGUAGAGAUGUGGAGGAACACCGAUGGCGAAGGCAGCCUUCUGGGCCAACACUGACGCUCAUGCACGAAAGCGUGGGGAGCAAACAGGAUUAGAUACCCUGGUAGUCCACGCCCUAAACGAUGAUGACUAGUUGUUGGAGGAGUUAAAUCCUUUAGUAACGCAGCUAACGCGUGAAGUCAUCCGCCUGGGGGGUACGGUCGCAAGAUUA